rnacentral:lncRNA from 1 species
GGGGGGGGGGGGGGGGGGGGGGGGGGGGGGGGGGGGGGGGGGGGGGGGGGGGGGGGGGGGGGGGGGGGGGGGGGGGGGGGGGGGGGGGGGGGGGGGGGGGGGGGGGGGGGGGGGGGACUGGUGGCACCUCCGGGGCUCGGUGACACUUUUGGGGUGGUGGCACCUCCGGGGGUUGGUGGCAGUUCCAGGCAUUGGUGGCACUUUGGGACUGGUGGCACCUCCAGGGACUGGUGCCAUCUCGGGGCUCGUGGCACUUGCAGGGGUUGGUGGCACUUUGGGGCUGGUGGCACCUCCAGGGGCUGGUGACACUUUCAGGCACUGGUGGCACCUCCAGGGCUUGGUGGCACCUCCAGGGCUUGGUGGCACCUUGGGCUUGGUGGCACCUUGGGCUUGGUGGCACCUCCGUGUAUCGGUGACCCGUGUAUUGGUGACACCUGUAGAUGUUGGUGACACUUCCAGGCACUGGUGGCACUUUGGGGCUGGUGUCACCUGA